UCUCGCUCUAAAGAGUGUAUCAAGGCAGUGUAUCUGGGCGGAUACUAAUUAAUGUUCGGUGUGCUUAGUGAUUUUUUUUUGUGUCUGUGUGGAUGUGUAUUUGCUUUAGUUGUUCUGGAUAUUUUAAAGUGAAUGUCGAGCCAGCAUAUAUAACUAGAUAGAUGUUAAGAGUGAUUUAAAGAUUGUACUAAAUGGCCAUUUGUGGGGUGAGGAAAAAUAUUGUGUGUUUAUUAGUUCUAGGAAAUAACUGCUUUUAAGAGUGUUUGGCAUUUUAGUGCGUAAGAGCGAUGGGGGAUGUGUGCUUAGCUGUGUUCAAAACUGUACGAAUUGUGAUAGAAUUUGAAUCAUGAAUGCUGAUUAAAAAUGCAUUAAGCAAAAAAUGGGCUAUCUCGCCAUGACUUAGCAUGUGGUUGUAUCUAUGGUAUCUAUGAAUAUUGCAACUAAUACAGCUGUUAUAUUAAUAACUUAAAGAUAUAUAUAUUGGAGAUGAAGCUGGUAGUUUUUCUUAAUACUGUGACAAAUAGUGCCCCAUAACUUGUAUCAUAUUAAGACUAUAUUUUAUACAUGUAAAAUAUUUAUUUAGAUGCAUUGAACCAUUUUAAACCCCACAUUUGUGAAACCAUUGAACCCCAUGUUAUUGAUCUACGAUAUAAGUUAAACUGUCCACAACAUAUAUACACGGCCACUAUGUAAUAUGCACGCAUCUAAUUACGUACUCAAAAAUUUCCACAUGUAGUGACGAAGGUAUGUAUAUAAGACCCCGAGACGAGAGACUUGGACGAGAAGAGUGGAAAUGAGCAGAGCCGCUGCCGUGGCUGAGGGGCUGAAUGGUAGUAAUAUAGUCAUGUACUGUGUUAAUGUUAUUGUUUAUAUCCCUGGUGUAUUUAUGUUUCUGCUGUAUUUGUAUUUAGCUGUUUCAUAUUCUGUUCCCGAUGUAAAUAGAUCCUAUAUUUAAGAAACUGAUCUAAUCUAUGUUACCAGUAAUAGUGUUACAAUAUACCUGUGUAUGGUAAGUUGAUUAGUUUGUAUAUUUAACGGAAUAAUCAACAGCACAGAGAACGAAACCGACAUGUUAAAUUGUCUACUUGGUAGGAAAUGGUAUAGUUAAAACUAACAAAUCGAAUUAAAUAGUAUCUUGUCGAGUUGCAAUACAAAUACACAUUAGUUAUGUAAAUGUCUCAAAUGAGAAGUGGUAUCAGUCGUCCGUUCGGUUAUGGAAAGAUUCGUCUGUGCUGAUUAGUUUGGAUCUGAUAUUUUCAGAAAACAUCGGUUUGUCCUCAUUUUUGCGUGUCCGCUGUAAUUUGUUUCUCGGGUACAGACUGACUGUGUAACACACAGAUGGUAAACACCCUGCCCAUGAUCUGAUAUGUAGAAGCAAAUAGUGGUGAUCACUAUGGACAUAGUCGUCUACUCAUAGGGCGUCAAGCAGUUCCACCAGUCACCACUUAACAAUGCAAACAACGUAUAGUUCGCCGUUUGUCAACUGUUCCCGCGACGUAGGAAGAGUCUUACCAAUCAAAUCUUUUUAUUCAAGUGAACUCUUAACCUCAAUCAAGCACAUGGACGUUUAGGCUUUGAAAUUGUAAGGCUUUCUUGUACAUUAAUUAUGCAAUAUUCAGCAGGGAUUAUGCAAGUACAUCAAGAGAAAGUAUAAAUUGGAAUCCACGCAUAGCCUAUACUUUACGCAUUCCGUAGAAUAUGAUAUUGAAAUGGCAAGAUGAUACAUGAUUUCGGGUGCAAGAUAUGGUAAUCAUCAACAACCGUCUGAUAGUUAGUGGGAAGAAGUAGUUACGUCGAUAUCUUAUAAGGUUGGAGUUUUCAUGAUACAGUUCCAUCAACACCAUCAGUUAACAGAUCAAAUUGUUUCUAAAGACACGGUACCUAAUUCAGAGGAUUCGGAUACCCAAUUAUCCCCUGUCAUACCGGUAGACAUCGUAGAGGAACACCACGAAGAUAUAAAGAAAUAAAAUAUUCUUUUGAAAGUAAACUGACAACCCCAAGAACGAGAAGAAGAUCAAGAUACACCUUAAGCCAGACCAAGGAAGUUACUGGUGACAGAUUAAAUGUCAAUAGAGUUUGUGGUGAAGGUUAGCAUAUUGGCCUUGAGUAUGCUAACCGGCAAAAACGCUCCCGUCGCCCGUGUUGCAAUAAAUUCAUUUAGAUAAAUAAAUAAAACUAAGACAAAUUAGUUGAUUCUGAAUAUUAUGGAAACAUUAAUCCGACUGUGAAAUCUAUUCUGGAAGCCAUCCGUGGAAAUCAGGGUCUGAUUGGGCUUGUUUUAAAUCAUCUAUGAUAAACAGACAUAUUCUGUACGUACAUUGAGUGCGAUUGUCUUGUAAUAUCUCUGGAUUUGGUUGGAACAAGGGAAGGGCAACAGAAAAAGGGGGCACAAUGUUUUCAUUAGGGUGGGGAUUUACUUGAGUAUUUAAGGUAACUCUGUCGAAAUUCGAGGGCACAUAGCCACCCCCUCUCCCUCCCCUAUACCCUGAUAGGAAAUCUUAUCGGUUUCGAUCUUUAUCAACCAUUUCCAGUUUCUUUUGUUUU